rnacentral:tRNA from 1 species
GGGCGCAUAGCUCAGUGGGAGAGCGCUUGACUCACAUUCAAGAGGUCGCAGGUUCGAAACCCGCUGUGCCCACCA